rnacentral:tRNA from 1 species
AUUCAAAUAAUAUAUUAUUUUUAUAUUAUUAUUAUAGGAUAAUAGUUUAAAUAUUCAAUAUAUUUUUUGAAUA